UUAAGUUCAGCGGGUAUUCCUACCUGAUCCGAGGUCAAAUCUUAGACUUUUAAAUUGACAGAAUGCCGGCUGGGCCACCAAAGCGUGUGACAAAGCUCCAUACACUUGGGCACCAAACUCGGCAUCGCCACUGCAUUUCGAGCUGUCCAUUAAGGGACAGGGCUCAACAAACAAGCUGUGCUUGAGGAUUGUAAUGACGC
rnacentral:misc_RNA from 1 species